rnacentral:rRNA from 1 species
AAUUGGAUGGGGGCCCUUCCCGGGUACCUCACCGAACCAAACUCCGAAUACCAUUGUCCGUACCCCGGGAGUCAGUCCGCGAGGGAUAAGCUUCGCGGUCGAGAGGGAAACAACCCAGACCAUCUGCUAAGGUCCCCAAGUAAAACUCAGUCACUAAGGAAGUGAUUUUGCUAUGACAGCCAGGAUGUUGGCUUAGAAGCAGCCAUCAUUUAAAAAGUGCGUAACAGCUUACUGGUCGAGCAAUUUUGCGCCGAUAAUGAACGGGAGUAAGUUUUACACCGAAGCAGUGGGAUCCACUUGUGGAUCGGUAGGAGAGCGCUGUACGUCAGAUACAAGUCGCACCGUAAGGAGCGAUGGUGGGGCGUACAGGUGAUUAUGCCGGAAUGAGUAACGAUAAAGCAGGUGAGAAUCCUGCUCGCCGAAAGCCUAAGGUUUCCUGGGGAAGGUAAAUCCGCCCAGGGUUAGCCGGUUCCUUAGUCGAGGCCGAAAGGCGUAGACGAUGGAUAGCAGGUCAACAUUCCUGCGCCACAUGCCGGACUGAUGGAGGGACGGCGUCUGAAAGGUGAGGGGACGGAUAGAAAUGUCCCUCGCCUGUGUGUAGGGUAGCUGUAGGCAAAUCCGCAGCGACAUCCUGAAGCAUGGGACAAAGACGUUUAUGUUUCGAUAGUCACCAGAAGGACGUCCAAGAAAAGCUUCUAGGGUUGAUGGCAUGUGACCGUACUAAAACUGACACAGGUAGGCGGGACGAGAAGUCCUAGGCGCUCGGGAGAACACUGGUUAAGGAACUCUGCAAAAUGGCCCCGUAAGUUCGCGAUAAGGGGUGCCCUCUUUGGUUAACGCUGAGGAGGGUCACAGUAAAUCGGCAUCAGCGACUGUUUAUCAAAAACACAGGACUCUGCUAACUCGCAAGAGGAUGUAUAGAGUCUGACGCCUGCCCGGUGCUGGUAGGUUAAGGAAGAGGGUUAGCCGCAAGGCGAAGCUCGCAACUGAAGCCCCAGUAAACGGCGGCCGUAACUAUGACGGUCCUAAGGUAGCGAAGUUCCUUGUCGGGUAAGUUCCGACCUGCAUGAAAGGCGUAACGACUGAUGCACUGUCUCAACCAGUGACCCGGUGAAAUUGUAGCCGUGGUGAAGAUGCCACGUACCCGCAGUAUGACGGAAAGACCCCGUGAACCUUUACUGUAGGCUGAUAUUGGUCUUGGACGUGUUCUGUGUAGGAUAGGUGGGAGGCUUUGAAGCAGUGACGCUAGUCAUUGUGGAGCCAACGUUGAAAUACCACCCUGGAUUCGUUUGAGUUCUAACGCUGAUUCCCGUGAAACCGGGCAGCGGACAGUUUCAGUUGGGCAGUUUGACUGGGGCGGUCUCCUCCUAAAGAGUAACGGAGGAGUUCAAAGGUACCCUCAGCCUGGUUGGCAAUCAGGCAUUGAGCGCAAAGGUAGAAGGGUGCUUGACUGCGAGACUCAUAAGUCGAGCAGAUACGAAAGUAGGACUUAGUGAUCCGGUGGUUCUGAAUGGAAGGGCCAUCGCUCAUCAGAUAAAAGGUACUCCGGGGAUAACAGGCUUAUCGCUUCCGAGCGUCCAUAGCGGCGAAGCGGUUUGGCACCUCGAUGUCGGCUCAUCACAUCCUGGGGGUGGAGAAGCUCCCAAGGGUUUGGCUGUUCGCCAAUGAAAGUGGUACGUGAGCUGGGUUCAGACCGUCGUGAGACAGGUCGGUCCCUAUCUGCUGUGGGCGUACGAAACUUGCGAGGAUUCUUCUUUAGUACGAGAGGAUUUGGAAGGACGUUCCUCUGGUGUACCAGUUGUCGCGCUAGCGGCAUGGCUGGAUAGCUAAGAACGGAAAGGAUAAACGCUGAAAGCAUAUAAGCGUGAAGCCCGCCUCAAGAUCAGGUUUCGUAGGGUUUUUAACCCGAAAGUCCCCUGAAAGACGAUCAGGUUAAUAGGCCGGAUGUGUACGUGCAGUAAUGCACUCAGCUAACCGGUACUAACGGACGAUUGCUUGACCAC